GACGAACGCUGGCGGCGUGCUUAACACAUGCAAGUCGAGCGGUAAGGCCCUUUCGGGGGUACACGAGCGGCGAACGGGUGAGUAACACGUGGGUGACCUGCCCUUAGCUCUGGGAUAAGCCUGGGAAACUGGGUCUAAUACCGGAUAUGACUCCAUGACGCAUGUUGUGGGGUGGAAAGCCUUGUGCGGCUAGGGAUGGGCCCGCGGCCUAUCAGCUUGUUGGUGGGGUGAUGGCCUACCAAGGCGACGACGGGUAGCCGGCCUGAGAGGGCGACCGGCCACACUGGGACUGAGACACGGCCCAGACUCCUACGGGAGGCAGCAGUGGGGAAUCUUGCGCAAUUGGCGAAAGCCUGACGCAGCGACGCCGCGUGAGGGAUGACGGCCUCGG
rnacentral:rRNA from 1 species